GACGAACGCUGGCGGCGCGCUUAACACAUGCAAGUCGAGCGAAGCGGCGGACGGGUGAGUAACACGUGAGUAACCUGCCUUAGACAUUGGGAUAGCCUCGGGAAACCGGGAUUAAUACCAAAUGGUCUAAGAUGGGCUCGCGUCCCAUUAGCUAGUUGGUGGGUAACGGCCCACCAAGGCGACGAUUGGUAGCCGGCCUGUGAGAGUGAACGAGUACAUUGGAACCGAGAAACGGUCCAAACUCUACGGGAGGCAGCAGUGGGGAAUAGUGCACAGUGGCGGGAAGUCUGAAGCAGCGACGCCGCGUGAACGAAGAAUGCUUUCGAGACGUAAAGUUCUUUUAUAUGGGAAGCGGUACCAGAAGAAAAAGCCCCGGCUAACUACGUGCCAGCAGCCGCGGUAAUAC
rnacentral:rRNA from 1 species